rnacentral:siRNA from 1 species
CUAGAUUAUAAGGUGUGCUACU